AUGGGAUUAAGUCCUGCUGGGUUGGCUAGAUGUGCCCUGAGGCCAAAACCUCCAGGAAAGGGGGGAGAAACAUGUAGGGUCUCCCCUGCUGCAAACAGGCUGCCUGCUCUGCGCUUCCUCUCCAGCUCCUUCCCCACUGCCUGUGUUGGAGGCUCUGAGCCUGGUACAGCCCUGCCCACAAGGAAUACUGACAAAGACUUUCCUGGAGAGAGUGUGGUGGAGCCAAGGUGGUAACUUGAGAACAGCUCCUGCCCAGUGGACCAAGAAAGAGAGUGGCUGGAAGAGUCUGAUGAUGCUGCACACUUUCCACCUGGAGGAAUUUAUUUAUUUAUUUUUCUCUUCUCCUCAUACAGUCAACCUUCAAGCAAACACAUAUAUAAAGUAGAUGAUAUCUAAAGUCUUUUCUUCUAAAAUUCUUGGUGCUGCCCAUUAAUCCUUCAUUGAGAAUCUACCAAAGCUCCAAAAUAUCCCCAUGUCAUUUCUGCACCAUACCAUCUGCACCCUGGCCACCAUCCAUAUCUUUCCUCCUCCCCAUCCAACUUGGACUCUUCCUCUGGGAUGUUAGGUUCUGAUAGAUGAGCUUUGACCUUGCUCAGAACCAGGUCAAGAUGACCUCCCUGGCUAUCUCCUGUACACUGCUCUUGUACAAAUUCUAUCAGAUUGUUUCCCUGUUUGUGCAGUAUAUGGAUGCAAGGGUAAGGAUAGUGAGCAUUUAUAGAGCAUCUACUCUGGGCCAAGUACUUUAAAAAAAUAUUCUCUCAUUUGAUCUUCAUGACAAUUUCACAAGACAGAUGCUGUUAUCUCCAUUUUUAAUUGAGGAAACCAAGGCAAACAGAAGUUGAGUGAGUUGCUUAGGGCCACAUAGCUAAUAAGUAUUUGAGGCUGGAUUUGAACUCAGCUACCUGAGUAUAAUAGUUGUUGCAGAUAAUAUGCUUCAACCUGAAUACACAGCUCACAUUUUUGAUUCUUCAGAGAUAGUGGUUUUCCAUGAAUUGGAAUCCUAAAGCAUUACUAGAAAUAUAUCAGGGUUAAAAAAACAAAAUAGUUUUGGGGUUAGGCAACAACUCUGGAACAUUUAAAGCAGAGUACAAUUGUCCAAGUGAAAUCUAACCCACUCUUUAAAAAAAUUGUUGAUUUUUUUAAAACAUUCUUUUCUUUUGAAGUUUUGAGUUCCCAAUUCUCUCUCUUCCACCUUUUCCCCUGCCCACAGAAAAGGCAAGCAACAUAAUAUCAAUUAUACAUGUGAAAUCAUGCGAAAAGUUUUUUAUCUCAAUCAGUCAACAAUCGUUUAUUAAGUGUCCACCAUGUGGCAAGUACUUUGCAAGAUGUUGUAAGGGUUAAAAUGAAGGGUUUGACUAAAAUAUAUAAUUCAAAGUAUUAUUGCUCAAAGUCAAAGUGACCUUUAAUAGUUUUUAUUUACAAAAGAGGUGGAAAGAGUUAAAGUAGAGAAAUACAAAAGGGUAGAGAAGACAUUAACCUACUCAGCCAGGACUUGUUGAACUUCAACCAGAAUUAAACUCUCUUCAGAAGACAGGAAGGGAAAACCAGCUAUGCACUCACCCAAGUUUCCUCCAAGAGGCAGGUCAAGACAAUGAAUUGAGCUGAAGGUGACUCCUGAGAGGGGGCAGCUGGGUGGCUCGGUGGAUUGAGUGUCAGGCCUAGAGACAGGAGGUCCUGGGUUCAAAUAUGGCCUCAGACAUUCCCAGCUGUGUGACCCUAUAAAAAAUAGACUCGAAUACAGGACUACAAUCCCCACAAGCCCUUGUUCCACUUCCCCAAGAUGCUUUGUAAUCUCACGGGAAUUCUGAGGUGGGCCGAGAUCAAGGAAGGAUUUAAGCUGGUGGCAAAGGUUUUUGGGUCUCUCUCUUUUGGACUUCCGUUUUGGAGCAGAUGCGUCUCUUCUGUCUCUUCCGUGAUGUGAGGUUAUCUGGCCUAGGCAUGUGUUUUUUCUUAUUCUGUAUUUUCUUUAAUCUUUAACCUUUAAUAAACCUCUAAAAAAUAUAA